GUUAAGUCAGAUGUGAAAGACCCGGGCGUCAACCUCGGAAUAGCAUUUGAAACUAGGCAGACUAGAGUACUGUAGAGGGGGGUAGGAAUUUCAGGUGUAGCGGUGAAAUAGCGUAGAGAUCUGAAGGAAUACCGGUGGCGAAGGCGGCCCCCUCGGACAGAUACUGACACUCAGAUGCGAAAGCGUGGGGAGCAAACAGGAUUAGAUACCCUGGUAG
rnacentral:rRNA from 1 species